rnacentral:rRNA from 1 species
GUAGGUGGCAAGCGUUGUCCGGAAUUAUUGGGCGUAAAGCGCGCGCAGGUGGUUCUUUAAGUCUGAUGUGAAAGCCCCCGGGCUCAACCGGGGAGGGUCAUUGGAAACUGGGGAACUUGAGUGCAGGAGAGGAAAGUGGAAUUCCACGUGUAGCGGUGAAAUGCGUAGAUAUGUGGAGGAACACCAGUGGCGAAGGCGACUUUCUGGCCUGUAACUGACACUGAGGCGCGAAAGCGUGGGGAGCAAACGGGAUUAGAUACCCUGGUAGUCCACGCCGUAAACGAUGAGUGCUAAGUGUUGUGGGGUUUCCGCCCCUCAGUGCUGCAGCUAACGCAUUAAGCACUCCGCCUGGGGAGUACGGUCGCAAAGACUG